CGCUCAGCCAGGUCUGUUCUGUGAGCGCUCAGCCAGGUCUGUUCUGUGAGCGCUCAGCCAGGUUGUUUGGAAUUUGGGCGGGACGAAGAAGGAGCUGACGAGCUCGGACUUCUCGCCCCGCAGCCCUGGAAGACGUUCCAAGGGUGUUAGGGCCCGACUUUUCGGGGCCCAAUCUGGGACUCUGGUUAGAGGAGAAGGAUCCGGACUAACGGCACCUCUGUCUGUAUUUUUGGCUUUCAGAGGGCCCCGGACCUUUGCCACCUCCAUCUGACUUUUUGCUUUCAGUUUGGUACCAAAGCCGUGCAGCACGCCUGUCUGUUGUUUGUUUGACUGUUGGUGUUGUUUGUUUUCUCUGUGUCCUAAUCUUCCUUAGAACUAACAUGGGACAGUCCCUAACAAUGCCCCUAAGUCUCACUCUUGAUCAUUAGAAAGACGUCCACGACCGGGCACACAACCAGUCCGUCGAGGUUAAAAAAGGAAAAGGGCAGACUCUCUGCACAUCCGAGUGGCCCACUUUCGGAGCGGGAUGGCCAGUGAAUGGCACAUUUAAUAAGAUCAUUAUUUUACAGGUUAAAGAUCGGGUCGUCCACGGACAUCCUGACCAGGUUUCUUAUAUUAUCACUUGAGAGAGUCUCGCCUUAAUCCCCCCCCCCCCGGGCGGAACCCUUCGUGGACCCGAAUUGGCCUCCCCUCAACCCCCAGCCUGUCCCCUCGGCCCCGCCCGGUCUGCCGGCCACGUCUUCCUCUCUCUACCUUUGUGAAAUCAGAGCCUUCUAAGAAACCUGUCCUCCCGGCAGACCCAAACUCCCCUCUCAUAGAUCUUCUCUCUGACAGGCCCGGCUAAAACAGAGGAGGCAGAGCCGCCGGCCAGAUCAGUUGCCGGGCCACAGUCUGAUAAGGGUUUCUCCCCUGUCGCAGGGAGAUUGCGCAAUAAGCUCGAGGUGAUGCCAGAUACAACCUCCCAGGCUUUCCCACUUAGACAGGGAACCGGUGGCCAGACCCAAUACUGGCCGUUUUCAGCAGCUGACAUUUACAAUUGGAAACAACACAACCCUUCUUUCUCCAAAGAUCCGGUGACAUUCACCGACCUAAUAGAAUCUGUUUUACUUACCCACCAGCCUACUUGGGAUGACUGCCAACAGCUCUUACAGGCCCUCUUAACCUCAGAAAAAAAAAAAAAAAACAAAGAGUGUUCCUAGAGGCCAGAAAGCAUGUUCUGGGAGAUGAUGGGCGUCCCACCCAGCUGCCUGAGGACCAAACUGGGAUUUUAAUACAGCUGAAGGUAAGGGACACCUACGCCUUUAUCGCCAGUUGCUUCUAGCGGGUCUCCGAGGGGCUAUACGACGCCCUACUAAUUUGGCUCAGGUAAAACAGGUAUUACAGGAAGCAGGGAAAACUCCCUCCGCCUUUCUAGAGAGACUUAAGGAGGCCUACCGUAUGUACACUCCCUAUGACCCAGAUGACCCAGGACAAAUGACGAGUGUCUCUAUGUCCUUCAUCUGGCAGGCUGCUCCAGAUAUCAGGACUAAGUUACAGAGGUUAGAAAAUUUGCAGGGCUAUACAUUACAGGAUUUACUUAAAGAAGCUGAAAAGAUUUUUAAUAAGAGAGAGAAUUGAGUCGAAUCUUGGCCGCCGUAGUACAGGGCCAAGAAAGGAAGGGAGAUAGGGGGGAGCUCGAAAGGGGCUGAAGCUAGAUAAAGAUCAAUGUGCCUAUUACAAAGAGAAAGGGCACCGGGCCAGAGAGUGCCCCAAGAAGCCUGGCGGACCCCGAAAGCCUCGACCACGAACCUCCCUCUUGGCUCUAGAUAAAGAUUAGGGAAUUCAGGGCCAGGAGCCCCCCCCCCUGAGCCCAGGGUAACGCUUAAAGUUGGGGGGCAGCCGGUUACUUUCCUGGUAGACACAGGAGCCCAGCAUUCAGUCCUCACCCAAGCUUCAGGACAACUCAGCGACCGAACGGCCUGGGUACAAAGAGCUACUGGUGAGAAACAAUACCGAUGGACUACGGACCGCCGGGUUCAGCUGGCUACCGGUAAGGUGACCCAUUCCUUCUUACAUGUUCCGGACUGCCCGUACCCUCUGCUGGGCCGUGACCUGCUCACCAAACUAAAAGCACAAAUUCAUUUUGAAGAAAGAGGGGCCCAAAUAACUGGCCCCCACGGAACUCCCCUACAAGUUCUAACCCUAUGAACCGGGACAGGACACUGGCUUGGGCAGAGACUGGUGGGAUGGGGUUGGCGCUCCAACAGCCCCCCUUAAUUACAACUCCAGUCUCCAUAAAACAAUACCCCCUGUCACAUGAAGCUUAUCAAGGUAUAAGGCCUCACAUUACGAGGCUUCUAGAUCAAGGCAUCCUAAUCCCCUGCCGGUCGCCUUGGAAUACGCCUCUUCUGCCUGUUAAGAAACCCGGCACUGGAGAUUAUAGGCCAGUACAAGACUUGAGAAAGGUCAACAAGAGGAUAGAAGAUAUUCAUCCGACUGUUCCAAACCCUUACAAUUUGCUCAGUAACUGUUCAUCGAUGAGAAACAGGGGUAUGCUAAAGGGGUCCUAACACAAAGGUUGGGACCCUGGAAACGCCCUGUGGCCUACCUGUCUAAGAAAUUGGACCCUGUGGCCUCCGGCUGGCCACCGUGCCUAAGGAUGGUGGCUGCUAUUGCUGUCCUGAUCAAGGAUGCUGGAAAAUUGACUUUGGGACAGCCACUCACCAUCCUAACACCCCACGCAGUGGAGGCCUUGGUAAAGCAGCCCCCAGACCGCUGGCUCUAUAAUUCUCACACCAAGCCUUGUUACUGGAUACAGAACGGGUUCAGUUUGGGCCCGUAGUCGCCCUCAAUCCUGCCACCUUGCUUCCUCUACCAGAGGAGACAAAACAACAUGACUGCCUACAAAUCCUCACAGAAGUACAUGGAACCAGGCCGGACCUAUCGGACCAGCCUCUUCAGAAUGCUGACCACACAUGGUACACGGAUGAUAACAGCUUCUUGGCAGAGGGAGAGCGAAAGGCUAGAGCUGCGGUCACUACGGAGGACAAAGUGAUUUGGGCGAAAGCCCUGCCUGCUGGUACCUCCGCACAACGGGCUGAACUCAUCGCCUUGACUCAGGCGCUCAAGAUGACAAAAGGACACCAGAAAGGGCACAACCCAGAGGCACGAGGAAACCGGCUGGCCGAUGCCACGGCGAGAGAAGCGGCCAUGAGCAAAUAAAUCUUGCCCUUAAAUAGCCCAGACCAACCCACGCCCCCACCAGUGGGACAAACUAGUUGGGUUUAUGCCCAUGAGGACAUAGAGCUCCUAGAAAAAAUGGGGGCCAUCUACCACCCUCAAGAAAGACAAUUAUGCCAAUAAAAAUGACUUUUGAAUUGAUCUCCUUUCUACAUAAAUUAACCCAUUUGGGGUUUAAGAAGAUAAAAACCUUACUAGAUCGGGAAGAGAUAAAUCUGUGUUUUUUUGAAUCGGGACAAAGCGAUACAAAAGGUGACUGAGAGUUACAAAGCGUGCGCUCAGGUUAACCCGGAAAGGACCAUGAUUGGACAAGGAGUUCGUCCUAGGGGACACCGUCCCGACAUCCAUUGAGAAAUUGAUUUUACUGAAAUUAAACCAGGUAUAUAUGGAUACAAGUAUCUCCUAGUGUUUGUAGACACCUUCUCAGGAUGGGUCGAAGCCUUCCCCACAAAACACGAGACUACAAAAAUGGUCACCAAGAAGCUCCUCAAGGAAAUCUUUCCCAGGUAUGACAUGCCUCAAGCGUUGGGGUCGGACAACGGGCCCGCUUUCGUCUCCCAAGUAAGUCAGUUGGUGGCCAAAUUGUUGGGGAUUGAUUAAAAAUUACAUUGUGCCUAUAGACCCCAGAGUUCAGGUCAGGUAGAACACAUAAAUAGAACAAUUAAGGAGACUUUAUCCAAACUUACGCUUGCAACUGGCUCAAAGGAUUGGGUGGCCCUCCUUCCCCUAGUUCUAUAUCGGGCCCGGAAUACCCCGGGCCCCCAUGGUCUAACUCCUUUUAAAAUAAUGUAUGGAACACCACCCCCAUUUGUCCAUUUCUUUGAUUCAAACAUUGCUGAUUUUGCUGACAGCCCUUCUCUGAGGGCCCAUUUACAGGCCCUACAGAUUGUACAGAGAGACGUCUGGAGACCUUUGGCCGCUGCUUACCAGGACAAGCUUGAACAUCCGGUGGUGCCACACCCGUUCCAGAUUAGAGACACCGUGUGGGUGCACAGACACCAGACCAAGAAUCUCGAGCCACGGUGGAAAGGACCCUACACCAUCCUCCUGACUACCCCGACCGCCCUAAAGGUAGACGGAGUCUCGGCUUAGAUCCACACACCACACGUCAAGACAGUCCGGUCUGAGGAAUUGACUAAUCACAUCACUACACCCCAGACAUGGAGAGUUCAGCACACUCCAAACCCCUUAAAGUUAAAACUCCUACGUGGCUCCUCCUAGUCCUUUUGUGGCCUAGAGUCAGUGGGGGAAUAAGCCCCCACCAGACAGAAAUUUCUUGACCAAGUCGAGUGAAAGAUUUCACUCAAAGUUAGCAAAAAAAAAUGGGGGAAUGAAAGACCCCAGCUUAGCAGCAGUAACGCCAUUUUGCAAGGCUGUACUUAAGAUGACUGGUUCAGAGAAAGGUUAAAACACUGAGUACAAAGCGGCUGCCAAGCAGGAUGUGUUUGGUUGAAGGCCUGGCAACAGGACGACUGCAGUUGAGCACCUGACAAUGAAAAAAGCUCCGGGAGAGGUCCCACACCCUGGUGGGGGGCCGAGUCAGUCGUUAUGUUCCAAGAAGGUAGCUAAGAAACUUGCCCCCGGGCUGAACCCUUGGGGGGCCGAGUCAGCCGUUAUGUUUCAAGAAGGUAGCUAGGAAACUUGCCCCCGGGCUAAACCCUUGCCAUAUUAGAAUCCACCAAUUAUAUCCCUGUAACCAUGCAUCUGCUUCUGUAUGCUUGCUUCUGCUCCCCAAAAUCCUAUAAAAGCCCAUCCUUGGUUCCGUGGGGUGCGCCAGUCCCCCGAGUGACUGAAGCGCCCGCAGGUGCCUGUGCCUGUGUAUCCCGACAAUAAACCAAAUCCUCUUGCUGAUUGCA